AAGUUCAAGAACAGAGAAAAAAAUAAGAACGUGAAGAGCAGAUUUUCCAAGACAAACAUUUAAUUCUGUUCAUGCUCUUCAGGCAUACUAUUACCGCUCCAAAGAUAAACAAAUCUCAUUUCUGUAAAAGCAAGCCUCCUCCGGAUCUCUCCCACUCUUCGUAAAUUAUUUUCCAGAGCAUUUCACAACGGUGAUAUUUCGAUCCGAGGCCAGGAAAUGAAAGAGAAGGGCUGGCUUCUUAAUGGCCACACCAGCGCUCGUCCAAGCAAGAGGACACACCUGCCCC